rnacentral:rRNA from 1 species
AUUGAACGCUGGCGGCAUGCCUUACACAUGCAAGUCGAACGGCAGCACGGGGCAACCUGGUGGCGAGUGGCGAACGGGUGAGUAAUGCAUCGGAACGUACCUUUCAGUGGGGGAUAACGUAGCGAAAGUUACGCUAAUACCGCAUAUUCUGUGAGCAGGAAAGCAGGGGAUCGCAAGACCUUGCGCUGAUUGAGCGGCCGAUGUCAGAUUAGCUAGUUGGUGAGGUAAAGGCUCACCAAGGCGACGAUCUGUAGCGGGUCUGAGAGGAUGAUCCGCCACACUGGAACUGAGACACGGUCCAGACUCCUACGGGAAGCAGCAGUGGGGAAUUUUGGACAAUGGGGGCAACCCCGAUCCAGCCAUGCCGCGUGAGUGAAGAAGGCCUUCGGGUUGUAAAGCUCUUUCGGCCGGGAAGAAAUCGUAUCAGCUAAUACCUGGUGCGGAUGACGGUACCGGCAUAAGAAGCACCGGCUAACUACGUGCCAGCCGCCGCAGUAAUAC